rnacentral:rRNA from 1 species
AUUGCACGCUGGCGGCAGGCCUAACACAUGCAAGUCGAACGAGUGGCGGACGGGUGAGUAAUGUAUGGGAAACUGCCUGUUGGAGGGGGAUAAAUACUGGAAACGGUAGCUAAUAAAGAAUACCAUCAGAGGUGCCAGGAUGGGCUUAGCUUGUUGGUGGGGUAACGGCUCACCAAGGCGAAGAUCCCUAGAUGGUCUGAGAGGAUGACCAGCCACACUGGAACUGUCACACGGUCCGGACUCCGACGGGAGGAGGCAGUGGGGAUUAUUGCAUAAUGAGCGCAAGCCUGAUGCAGCCAUGCCGCGUGUAGGAAGAGGUCCUUCGGGUUGUAAAGUACUUUCAGCGGGGAGGCGUUACCCGCAGAAGAAGCACCGGCUAACUCCGUGCCAGCAGCCGCGGUAAUUC